GAUCAUGGAAAAGAUGCGCCGUGAUAAACUCCCACAAAUCGUAAAGUCUCCUGGGCGGAGAGCCUACAUCGACAGUUGUCUACAAAUGAGGACCUGUGGUCACCCUGCAACACAAAUAGCUGAUCCUCGGCAGGUCCAGGAUGCCCAGGUGGAGGAAAGGUCAUGUCGUCUACUAUAAUUUAAACAAAAUUAAUUGUUUGUGUUAGUUUAAUANNNNNNNNNNNNNNNNNNNNNNNNNNNNNNNNNNNNNNNNNNNNNNNNNNNNNNNNNNNNNNNNNNNNNNNNNNNNNNNNNNNNNNNNNNCUAAUUAUGUUUAAUAUUGGAGUGAAUAGUUAUGUAUGGGUUCCAGGCUUGAUUUUUGAGGCACCGUAGUACCGAGUUAUCCUAAUUAAUAUGUGUGUCAAUUUCAACAAUUUUUAGAAUAUUAUUACCUUAAAAAAAUAAAUUAUAAAUUUUUGAAUUGGAGUGAAUUUUGAGGCCCGAUAGCACUGAGUUAUCCUUAAUUAUUAUGCGUCUCAAUUUCAACAUUUUUAGAAUUUUGUUAGUUACUAAGAUUCUACGCUAAAAUGCUCUAUAUUUUACUACGCUAAAAGGCUCUAUCAUUUACUAUGUUAAAAGGCUCUGUAUUUUACGAUGCUGAAAUGCACUAUAUAUUACUACGCCAAAAGGCUCUACAUACUAAUUUAUCAAAAAUAAUAUGAACAUAACAUUAACAAUACAAAUAAAAUAAAUAAAUAAUACAGAUUAUUUAAUGAUACCAAUUAUUUAUCAAAUUUUAAUUAUGUUUGGUAUUAAAGCUAAUAAAUCAAUUUGGGUACAUAAAAGAUACAAAAUUAAACACAAACAUAAAGAUAAAUUCACAUGGAAACACACAAAAUAAUACAAAUUUUUGAAUUGAAGUGAAUAGAUACGUAUGGGUUCGAGGCUUCAUUUUUGGGCCCGGUAGCACUGAGUUAUCCUUAAUUAUUAUGCGUGUCAAUUCAACUUUUUUUAGAAUUUUGUUACCUUAAAAAAUUAAAUUAUUAAUUUUUGAAUUGGAGUGAAUAAUUAUGUAUGGGUUGCAGGCUUGAUUUUUGGGGUCCGGUAGCACCGAGUUAUCCUUAAUUAUUAUGCGUCUCAAUUUCAAAAACUUUUAAAAUUUUGUUGCCUUAAAGAAUAAAAUUAUAAAUUUUUGAAUUGGAGUGAAUAAAUCUCAAUUUCAACAAUCUUUAAAAUUUUGUUGCCCAAAAGAAUAAAAUAAUAAAUUUUUGAAUUGGAGUGAAUAACGUAUGCGUUCCAGGCUUCAUUUUGGGGGCCCGGUAGCACCGAGUUAUUCUUAAUUAUUAUGCGUAUCAAUUUCAACAAUUUUUAGAAUUUUAGUACCUUAAAAAAUUAAAUUAUAAAUUUUUGAAUUGGAGUGAAUAAUUAUGUAUGGGUUGCAGGCUUGAUUUUUGGGGUCCGGUAGCACCGAGUUAUCCUUAAUUAUUAUGCAUCUCAAUUUCAACAAUCUUUAAAAUUUUGUUGCCCAAAAGAAUAAAAUAAUAAAUUUUUGAAUUGGAGUGAAUAACGUAUGCGUUCCAGGCUUCAUUUUGGGGGCCCGGUAGCACCGAGUUAUUCUUAAUUAUUAUGCGUAUCAAUUUCAACAAUUUUUAGAAUUUUAGUACCUUAAAAAAUUAAAUUAUAAAUUUUUGAAUUGGAGUGAAUAAUUAUGUAUGGGUUGCAGGCUUGAUUUUUGGGGUCCGGUAGCACCGAGUUAUCCUUAAUUAUUAUGCGUCUCAAUUUCAAAAACUUUUAAAAUUUUGUUGCCUUAAAGAAUAAAAUUAUAAAUUUUUGAAUUGGAGUGAAUAAUUAUGUAUGCGUUCCAGGCAUCAUUUUGGGGGCCCGGUAGCACCGAGUUAUUCUUAAUUAUUAUGCGUGUCAAUUUCAACAAUUUUUAGAACUUUGUUACCUUAAAGAAUUAAAUUAUAAAUUUCUGAAUUGGAGUGAAUAAUUAUGUAUGGGUUCCAAGCUUGAUUUUUGGGCCCGGCAGCACCGAGUUAUCCUUAAUUUUUAUGCAUCUCAAUUUCAACAAUUUUUAGAAUUUUGUUACCUUAAAGAAUUAAACUAUAAAUUUUUGAAUAGGAAUGAAUAAUUAUGUAUGGGUCCAGGCUUGAUUUUUGGGGGCCCGAUAGCACCGAGUUAUCCUUAGUUAUUAUGCAUCUCAAUUUCAAUAAUUCUUAGAAAUUUGUUACCUUAAUGAAUUAAAUUAUACAUUUUUGAAUUGGAGUGAAUAAUUAUGUAUGUUCCAGGCUAGAUUUUUUGGGCUCGGUAGCACUGAGUUAUCCUUAAAUAUUAUGUGUGUCAAUUUCAACAAUUUUUAGAAUUUUGUUACCUUAAAGGAUUAAAUUAUAAAAUUUUGAAUUGGAGUGAGUAAUUAUGUAAGGGUUACGUGCUUAAUUUUUAGGGCCCGGUAGCACAGAUUUAUCAUUAAUUAUUAUGAAUCUCAAUUUCAACAAUUUUAAGAAUUUUUUAUCUUAAAGAAAUAAUUAUAAAUUUUUAAAUUGGAGUGAAUAAUUAUGUAUGGGUUCCAAGCUUGAUUUUUGGGGUCCGGUAGCACCGACUUAUCCUUAAUUAUUAUACAUGUCAAUUUCAAUAAUUUUUAGAAUUUUUUUACCUUAAAGAAUUAAAUUAUAAAAUUUUGAAUUAGAUGUAAUAAUUAUGUAUGAGUUCCAGGAUUGAUUUUUGGGGCCCGGUAGCACCGAGUUUUUUUUUGGUAAUUCAGAAUUUUAUUAAUCACCAAAGAUGUUGCAAUACAUAAUCAUAGUUCAGCUUAUACACAGCUGACUAUCUCAUCUAAUCUAUGUCACCAACUAUCUCUAUAACUAACCUUACCUAUAUUUACAAGAGAAAUUGCUGCAUAUGUUGUCUAACUUAGGAGUUCCUCCAACAUUACAAAUAUAGGCUAGUUUCCUGAGUAAAGUAUCACUGCUACGGAAGACAUUCUCGAAUAUCCUCGAGCUUCUCUCCAGCCACAAAGUAUAGAAUAAUUCAGCAGUCACCAUUUUGAAUAUAUUAGCUCUACAAGAUUUUCCUUUACCUUUGCUAACAAUCUACUGGAGAUACUGGUCCCAGUUUCGCAUUCUGGGAUGGUGUCUACAAGAUUUUACUUUAGCUUUGCUAACUAUCCACUGGAGGUACUGGUCCCAGUUCUACAUUCUGGUAUGGUCUUCUCUAAUCCAGGUCAGUGUUUGCUCCCUUAAGUCUGUUGCAUAUGGAUAGGUAAGGAACAGAUGAUCUCUGGAUGCUGCAAUAUUCUGGCACAACACACAUUUCUGGUCCACAUUUAUUCCCCAAUGUGUUAGCCUAUCCUUGGUUGGAAGUCUGUUAUGGAGUACUAACCAUAAGUUGAAAACAACUUUGAGUCUGGCAUAGUUCAGAACAGUUAGGUUCUUCCAGGGGACUCUCGGGAGUUAACCAAUGUGUAGUAGAUAGAUUUGUCUAAUGGAGCAUACUGGCAUAUUAAGGCCUUGUUGUUGUUGCAGCACAUCUUUUGCUGCUAUGAUCUUUCUAACCAUCCAACUAGCUUGUCUUGGAAUAUGAAUUUUCUCCAAUUGGUGCAGCUUCAUAUAGACAGCAUGAAUCCAUUUACCCACAGUCUGUCUUUCUUGUGAGCCAGAUCCCAGCAGAGUUUAGCAAUUGCAGCCUUGUUCCAAAGAGAUAGGUUAAUGAGAUUCAAACACCAGCUGAUUUAGGAAUACACAUUUUGUCCCAGGAUAUAUAAGAUUUUUUAGUGAUGACAUUUGAUCCAGACCAGAUGAAGCUUCUACAUGUUGCUUCAAUUAGCUUCAGUAUCUUUGUAGGGAUGAUGAAGAGUUGAGCCCAGUAUGCCUGUAUUCCAAAAACCACUGAUUGCACCAGUUGCCGCCUCCCAGCAUAUGACAGUUUCCUAGCAGCCCAUGAGGUGAUCCUAGCAGUGAUCUUUUUCACCUUGAACCAGUUGCAGCCUCCCAGCAUAUGACAGUUUCCUAGCAGUCCAUGAAGUGAUCCUAGCAGUGAUCUUUUCCACUAGUGGUUGCCACUGGAUCAAUGACAUCUUCUUGGUGGAUAGAGGAAUGCCUAGGUAUUUGAAAGGUAAUUCUCCAUAAAUAUAGCUAAGAUGACCAGUAAUCUGUUAUUGUACUUCAUGAUUAACCCCUCCAAAGUAUACUGAGCUUUUGCACAGAUUAGCUUUCAGUCCUGAGGCUUCAGUGAAUUGGGAAAAGAACUGGAACAUGGUAAUGACAGACUUGAUUUCACCUUUAGCAAAUAGGAGUAGGUCAUCAGCAAAGCAUAUGUGAGUAAUGCCCAGCUUUUUACAUCCCUGAUGGUAUAGAAAAUCUUGAUCUUUCCUUAAUUCAGCCAGUGACCUGCUAAGAUACUCCAUGACUAUUGCAAAUAAGAAAGGGGAUAUUGGAUCUCCUUGUCUNNNNNNNNNNNNNNNNNNNNNNNNNNGACCUGCUAAGAUACUCCAUGACUAUUGCAAAUAAGAAUGGGGAUACUGGAUCUCCUUGUCUGAGGCCUUUAGCAGCUUUAAAUGGUUCAGUUGUUUCCCAUUUGUCAUCACUGUAUAGCUUACUGUUUGGACACACUCCAUAAUCCAGUUAAUGAACCUAGUUGGAAAUCCCAAUCCCUCCAGUACCUGUUGCAAGAAGAUCCAUUCAACAGAAUCAUAAUCCUUCUGAAGGUCAAUUUUUAUCAUGCAUCUGGGAGUCACAUGGGUUCUGGAAUAGUUUUUGAUCAACUCAUGAGCCAGGAUGACAUUAUCUGCAAUCAUCCUGCCUGAGAUGAAACCUGCUUGAGCCUCACAAAUGAUACUAGGCAUGACCUUCUGCAUUCUGUUGGCUAAGAUUUUGGAAAUCAUUUUAUAUAGGACUGAGUAGCAUGCAAUUGGUCUAUACUCUUUAACUGUGAUUGGGUUAGGGACUUUGGGGAUUAAAGUAAGAGUGGCACAAUUUAUUGGCUUAUACAUCUUGGUUGUAUGGAAGAACUCCUUGAUUGCACCAAUGAUCUGCUUGCCAAUAAUAUUCCAGGUUUUCUUGAAAAAUACUGCAUUAAAUCCAUCAAUUCCUGGAGCUUUGUCAUCCCCAAUUGCCUUUAAGCUCUCCACAAUUUCAAGCUAAGUUAUGUCAGCACUUAGCUCUUUCCUCUGUUGUUGUGUUAAGAUAGGGCCAUUAGCCAUAUACAGUCUAUUUAUGGCUGGUAGAGAAGUAGCUUAUGAGCCCAUUAUGACUUAUAGAAGUCAGUGAUCUCCUUUUUAAUGUCUGCUGGUGUAGUAACUUUGAUACCCAUUGCUGUAAUAAGCUCUGUGAUCUGCUUAUAUUUGUUUCUUUCUUUCAGGACAACACAGAAAUACUUGUUGUUUGAGUCUCCAAGUUGAAUCCAAUUUGCUCUAGCCUUCUGUUGUAGGAUACUUUCUUCAAUCAAGGACCAUCUUUCCAGCUUCAAUACUAUUUCUUUCUCUUUAAGCUGCAGCUCAUCAUUGUAUGCCAGUGCCAUUUGAUUCUGUAUGUCUUUCAAUUCUUGUCUGCUAUGGUCAAUUCUCUGAGCAAUGUUCCUAAAAUCUUUAAUAUUUAAAGACUUUAGGGGCCCUUUCAAUGACUUGAGAUUGGACCAUACUGAUUUCAUAGAAAACAGAUUGUUGCAGUGCCAGUUGUCUUUUACCAGAUGCUGAAAGUCUUCAUGAUCAGCCCAUGUAUUGAAAAAUUUGAAAGGUAUCUUCCCUUUCCUAGUAUCUUCUGCCACUGUUAUUAUCAUAGGAUUAUGAUAAGAGAUUAGGGGAUGAUCAUAAAAAGUUUCCACAUGGCUUCACUUGAUCAUCCAUUCAUAGUUACCAAAUACUCUGUCCAGUCUGCUGCAUACUCUAUCAUUGCAUGUCUGCCUAUUUGUCCAAGUGAAAUAAUCACCUUUCCAAGGUAGUUCUGAAAGCCCAGCAUGUUGUAUGCUUUGAGUAAACUCUUGAGUCUCUGAAUACUUAACAUGAUUACUUGACUGUCUAUCACUGGCAUAUAACACAGCAUUGAAAUCUCCAGCAACUAACCAUUGAAUACUUAACAUGGUUACUUGACUGUCUAUCACUGGCAUAUAACACAACAUUGAAAUCUCCAGCAACUAACCAUGCCUCAGUAAUAGCAACUGAGAAAUCCUGCAGAUUUUUCCAUAGAGAUCUUCUCUGGUCCACCGCAUUAUAUCCAUAUACCACAGUUAGAUAGCAAGUGACAUCCCCAGUAUUGCUUCUGACUCUACAGUGUAGCAGUUGAGCCUCCUCCUGGAUACCAGUGACUGUGAGCAGCUUUCUAUCCCAUAAAAUCCACACUGUACCAUUUAUAGAACCAUUAUAAUUUGCUAGGACACCCCAACCAGAAAUCAACAGCUUAGCAAUUCUUCUUGCAUUUUUUUCUUUAACCUUAGUUAUCAUUAAUUAUUAUGCGUCUCAAUUUCAACAAUUUUAGAACUUUGUUACCUUAAAGAAUUAAAUUAUAAAUUUUUGAAUUGGAGUGAAUAAUUAUGUAUGGGUUCUAGGCUUGAUUUUGGGGGCCCGGUAGCACCGAGUUAUCCUUAAUUAUUAUGUAUGGGUUCCAGGCUUGAUUUUGGGGGUCCGAUAGCACCGAGUUAUCCUUAAUUAUUAUGCGUCUCAAUUUCAAUAAUUUUUAUAAUUUUUUUUACCUUAAAGAAUUAAAUUAUAUAUUUUUGAAUUGGAGUGAAUAAUUAUGUAUGGGUUCCAGGCUUGAUUUUUGGAGCCUGGUAGCACCAAGUUAUUCUUAAUUAUUAUGCGUGUCAAUUUCAACAAUUUAUAGAAUUUUUUUACCUUAAAGAAUUAAAUUAUAAAGUUUUGAAUUAGAGUGAAUUUUUGAGGUCCGGUAGCACCGAGUUAUCCUUAAUUUUUAUGUGCCUCAAUUUCAACAUUUUUAGAAUUUUGUUAGCUACUAAAACUCUACAUUAAAAGGAUUUAUAUUUUACUACGCUAAAAGACUCUAUAAUUUACUACGCUAAAAGACACUAUAUUUUACUAUGCUAAAAGGCUCUACAUACAAAUUUAUCAACAAUAAUAUGAACAUAACAUUAACAAUACAAAUAAAACAAAUAAGUAAUACAAAUUCACAAAAAUUAAUAAACCAUUCCAGGUAUAUUAAAGAUACAAAAUUAAACACAAACAUAACAUAAAUUCACAUGGAAACACACUAAAAAAUACAGAUAUAUAUACUAUAAGAGUUUUGCCAUAAUCUAAAUCGAAAUACCUCGAUUUAAGGUUUUUGAAUAUUAUUGAAAUUGAAUUUUUUUCACUGUUUCGCCAUAAUCUAAAUUGAAAUACCUCGAUUUAAGGUUUCUGAAUAUUAUUGAAAU
rnacentral:lncRNA from 1 species